UACAGAGGGUGCGAGCGUUGUCCGGAAUUAUUGGGCGUAAAGGGCUCGUAGGCGGUUUGUCACGUCGGGAGUGAAAUCCCGAGGCUCAACCUCGGGUCUGCAGUCGAUACGGGCAAACUAGAGUAUUGCAGGGGAGACUGGAAUUCCUGGUGUAGCGGUGGAAUGCGCAGAUAUCAGGAGGAACACCGAUGGCGAAGGCAGGUCUCUGGGCCAUUACUGACACUGAGAAGCGAAAGCAUGGGGGAGCGAACAGG
rnacentral:rRNA from 1 species